rnacentral:tRNA from 1 species
AACUCGCACCCGAAUUCGAAUCGGGACCAAUAGGUUCGUAGCCUAUUAUUCUUUCCAUUAAACUAUGCGAGC